rnacentral:rRNA from 1 species
CCGACGUAUGAUUAAUAGGGAUAGUCGGGGGCGUCAGUAUUCAGCUGUCAGAGGUGAAAUUCUUGGAUUUGCUGAAGACUAACUACUGCGAAAGCAUUCGCCAAGGAUGUUUUCAUUAAUCAGGGAACGAAAGUUAGGGGAUCGAAGACGAUCAGAUACCGUCGUAGUCUUAACCAUAAACUAUGCCGACUAGGGAUCGGACGGUGUUUCUAUUAUGACCCGUUCGGCACCUUACGAGAAAUCAAAGUUUUUGGGUUCUGGGGGGAGUAUGGUCGCAAGGCUGAAACUUAAAGAAAUUGACGGAAGGGCACCACAAGGCGUAAACCAUUAUUGCUUCUGCCAGCCGCAGCAACUCUGCGCCGAACAGCAGCCCGAAAGGGUGAUGUGGUGAUCCUCUAAACAGUAAAUGCUAGUCCGGAUCUCUCUGGGCGACACACUCAAAUUGCGGGAAACCCCUUAAGCUGUCAGCUACCAAGCCACUGAUUCGAAAGACAGUGGUGGCCAGGUUAAUUGCCUCGGGUAUGGUUACAACGCUGAUAGAUUGGGCAAUCCGCAGCCAAGCCCCUACAGUCCUCUCUGAGGAUAUGGGGAAGGUUCAGAGACUAGAUGGGUGUGGGUUGGUUGGGUGGUCGACCAGCUUAAGAUAUAGUCCGGCGUGGGAAGAAAUUCCAACGGUUCAGGCAUAAAUACCCUGCGACUUUAACUGGGAGCCUGCGGCUUAAUUUGACUCAACACGGGGAAACUCACCAGGUCCAGACAAAAUAAGGAUU